CGGCGGCGGCGGCGGCGGCUCGCUGCUGCUGAUGGAGACGGCCGAGAGCGGCGGGAAGGGCGGCGGGGGCCGGACGUGCGGCAGCUCCACCAGGAAGCGUCCCCAUUGUACCAGCAGAUGGCCUCAAAGUGAAAGCACUGCAGUUUUGUCAAACCAGAAUGAAGAAGAAAGAGGGUGACUUUCAUCUCAUUUUCUUCAGAGAUGAGUGACCUUGUGCACAGCAUCUAUGGACUGUGCCUUCUGGACUCUGGGGGAUUUGACCACUGGGAGAGCCAG